UAAGUAAAUUGGCAGUAAUGGAUAGGAGUGAGAGGCUAAUAGGUAACUAUCAAGGAGGGACAUUAUUCUUUUUUUCUUAAUUUUUUUAAUGUUUAUUCAUUUUUGAGAGCCAGAGCGUGAGCGGGGAAGGGGCAGAGAGGGAGACACAGAAUCCAAAGCAGGCUCCAUGCUCCAAGCUGCCAGCAUAGAACCCGAUGCGGGGCUCAACGCACCAAUGGUGAGUUCAUGACUGGAGCCAAGAUGGACACUUAACCGACUGAGCCACCCAGGCGCCCCAAGGAGGGACAUUAUUAAAGUCUAAUCUAGACUGGUAGCUUUGAAGAAGGAGAAGAAGAAAAAAGGUAUAGAAGGAAAGAUCAACAGAACACUACUUAAAAAAAAGAAGAGGAAAAGGUUUAUCUGGCAAACAUAAUAAAAGGGGUCAAUUUCUGGACAAGAAGGGGGAAGAAGGGGAUUCUGCAUUCCCAUUCCUCAGUGCCAUCAGUAUAUGACUACAGGAGACUGAGGAAUUUGCCUGUUUCUGGAAACUCUAGAACAAGCAGCCAAUUUGGAGCUUCCAGUUCAAAGAUAAUAGUGUCCUGGUAUAUUAGGUAAAAUGUAGCAUUCAUGUUUAGGUGUUAGAGACGCAAUAGAUAUGGCAGUUUUAGAGAUGAUGUUUAUUUAUUUACGGCUCCUUUUCCUCCAGGGACUUUUCAGCAGCCUUCGCAAAUUAGGAAAGAGUAUUCAUCUGGUGUACACAGAUAAUAUCACAGUCACUCUGCUGACUAUGACUUGGAAUUUAUCUCUAUUUCUUCUUCCUCUGACAGAGAGAAAACUGCAGUGCUGCAAAUACAACUGAUUCAGCAUUACGGUAUCUACCAAGUGCAAGCAAUCCCACUCUACGAGAGCACUACAAGCCUUCCAGAACUCAAACUUGUAAGGUGGGUGAGGUCGGAGGACAGAGUACAAACACAUAUACUCAAGUAGCUCUAAUUCAUGACAGUAUCUUGUAAGAAACAUAGACAAGCCUUAUGGAAAGGUUAAUUUCAACUGAGCCUCCUGGAAAGAAGCUUCAGGGAGAAAGUGAGAUCAACAUCGGGCCCAUUUUAACUCUUGGAAGGGUGAUUCCAAGCAUUGAAAAUAGCACAAACAAUAACAAGAAAAAGAUAUGAGAAAAUACUGGAUGUAUCUUUUUUACUUCGAAAGUGGUACAUUUUCAUUUUUAGGGGAAAAACAUGAAUUAUGGUAAGGAAAAAAAAGUUUAACCUGAAAUCCCACCACUCAAUCCCACCACAUUUUAGUAUAUGCUCUUCCACAUAUAGGAUAAUAUAAAACGGGAUCAUUCUAAACAUAUCUCCCUACUGGUUUUUGCAUAACAUCUUACUGGAGUGAUUAAAAACCACAGGCCUACCUGACUUGAAGGCCAAGUACAGCUCUUUCCUUAGAGCUCCCACUUCAACUUGUUCUUUUCUCUUUCCUUCCAAGAUCUCUAUAGGUAGAUCCAUGCUACUAGCCACUGUAUUUAAUUUUUCUGUUUUCCACAUGAAAUCAAAAAGGUAUGUAUGGUAUGACUUAUUUAACAUACAACUUCAAUAUAGCCAUUGUUGACACCUUUUAGGUUUUUGGUCCUGCAUUUCAAAGUGAGCUCAUUUGCAUAAUUAAAAUACUGAAGUUCUGGCCCUGCCACUUAUUAGCCCCGGGCUCAUCUAUAAAAUAGGAGUAACAACCACAUAGUGUUGCCCUAAGGAUAAAUAAAAUAAUUAGUAAUUUUUAAAACCACUUUGUUUCACUGGUGCAUUACUGAAAUUGAGAUUACUGUGACUCCAAAUGUAAAUGAAGUAAUAAAGAACUCUCUAGAAUUUGCCCCGUCUUUCUCUAUCUGCACUCCCCCAGUGCUUGAAGGCAGCCUUCCCUGUCUCUUGGAUGGAUGGCUCUCCAACAAUGUGUGUCUCACUCUCCAAUCUAUGUUCCUCACCACUACCAGGGUUAUCCUACCCAAACCCAAAACUGUCCAUGUUAUACCUCAGUUUAAAAUCCUUCCACUGCCUCACAUCCAGUGCCUAGAAUGGUCCCCUUCUAGAAAUUAUCCUAUAAAUGUACUUGCACAGGCAUAAAAUGACUUAACUGUGUCAUUCAUUGCCACAGUCUGAAAUAGCAAAAGAUCACAAAUAACCUGAGGUCCCUCCAUAAGGGCCUAGUUACAUAAACUGUGUUACAGUCAUCAAUGGAUUACUAUGUAACUGUCAAAAGAUUCAAUAUGUAUUAAGAAAUGUUCUCAAAGUAUUUCAAGGGAAAAAAAUCGAGGAACAGGGCAGUAAUGAUAGGUCACCACUUAUGUAAAAGGCGAACACAUAUUGCCUGAAUAUGCAUAAACUAUCUCUAGAAGCAUACCCAAGACAUUGGGUUUCCUGUGUCCAUUGGUUUCCUAUGAGGAGGAAGCCUAUUGGUUUCCUAUUGAAACUGUGACUGAUGUUCAAGGGUGGGAGAGAGACUGUUUACUAAAUCCCAAACCUUUCAAAUUUCAAACCAGGUGAAUUUUUUACUUAUUCAAAAAUUAAAGGAUUUUUUUGAUUGGUUAAUAUGGCAUAUAAUAUUUUUUGAUUGGGUUUUUCUGAUUGGUUAAUAUGGCAUAUAAGUCCCUUCCCAAACUAGCACAAUCUAUCUUGGUAGUCUCAUCACUAAAGCUUCCCCACUCCCUAACUGCACAUUUACACUCUUGUAUCUUUGCAUUUGCACAGAAGGCUUUUCCAUUUUUCUCUGGCUGACAAACUUGCUUGUGCUUCAAAUACUGGCUCCCUGGGAUGGAAUGAACUUCCUCUCCUGUCUUCCUGCCAUAUUCUGCAAAAGGGCCUUUGGCCUGAUUUGAUUACAUGUUUGCUCCCUGGCAAACAUGGCUGGGUUCACAGUCCUACCUGAAUCCAUCAGAAGCUUCUACCCCUCAGAUGCAAAGUCCAGACCUCAGAAGGCAAUAAAAAGAGUGAUGACACAGCAGCACUAUUCACACGAGCCAAAAGGAAGGUACCUAAGUGGCUAUCAAUAGAUGAAUAAACAAAAUGCAGUACAUACAUGCAAUGGAGUAUUAUUAUUAGCUUUAAAAAGGAAGGAAAUUCCGACAUAAGAUACAUGGAUGAACCUUGAAGACAUUAUGUUAAGUAAAAUAAGCCAGUCACCAAAGGAAAAAUACCAUAUGAUUCUACUUUAUAGGAGUUGCCUAGAGAAGUCAAACUCAAAGAGACAGAAAGUAGAAUUAUAGCUGUCAGGAACUCAGUGAAAUAAGAAAUGGGAAGUUGUGUGUAAUAGGUACAGAGUUUCAGCUGGGGGCAAUGAAAAGGUUCUAGAGGUAGAAGGUGAUCAUGGUAACACAACAAUGUGAAUGUACUUAUUGUCACAGAAUUGUACACUUAAAAAUAGUUAAAAUGACACCUUUUUAUUAUUUUUUUUUUAUUUUUUAUUUUUUGAAGACCGAGAGUGCAAGUGGGGUAAGAAGGACAAAGGGAGAGAGAGAGAAUCCCAAGUAGGCUCCACACUCAGCACAGAGCCCUUCACAGGGCUCAAUCCCACAAUCCUGGGAUCAUGACCUGAACCAAAAUCCAGAGUCAGACGCUCAACUGAGCCACCCAGGGGCCUCUACAAUGGUAGCUUUUAUGUUACAUGUAUCUUCCCGCAAUAAUAAAAAAAAAAAUUUUUUUUAAAGAAAGAAAGAAAAGAAUCAGAGACUUCCACAGUCUCAUGACAGUAAUAUUAUCCUAGAAUUCCUUCAGAUUUCAAAAGUACCUUUCUAUUUUCAUCCUGGUAUUAAGCUCUUAUAGUUUCUACACUCCAAGAUGUUUUUUAUCAAACCAAAAAAAAAAAAAAAAAAAAAAAAAAGGGAGAGAGAGAGAAUAUAAUCUUUUUUAAAGGGUCUGAUGAAAGAACAGGAGACUAUUAAAACUGACAGGCAGAUUUUGAAAAAGAUACAAACAGAAUUCUAGAAGUAAAAAAUACUGUCAUUUAAAUUAAAAACUCAGUAGAUGAAUGAAAUGACAGACACAGCUGCAUGAGAAUUAGCAAACUGGAAGAACUGAAGAAAUUACUAAAGGUAAAACACAAACUACUAAGAAAUAUGAAGGAUAGAGUGAUAAAGUACAACAUUUUUCUAAUUAGAGUUCCCAAGGGAGAGAAUAAAAUGAGGAAAGAGGUAAAAAUUCAAAAAGAUAAUGGCUAAGAAUUAUCUAGGAUUGAUAAAAGAAAUCAAUCCUCAAAAAUCAGGGAGCCCAAAAAAAAAAUCUCAAGAAAGAUAAAUAAGGUCUUAAAAACCCCUGAGAGAAAAGUUGUAACCUGCAGCAAAACAACAAUUGGCUGAUGUGAAUACAGAAACACUGGAAUAGUAUUUUCAAAGUGCUGGAAAAAAAUUACUAUCAGCCCUGAUUAGCAUAUCUAAUGAAAUUAUCUUUCAAAAGAGAAGACAAAAGAAAGACAUUUUCAGCCAAAUAAACACUUAGAAUGUAUACUGCCCAAAGACCCCAUUAAAGAUAAUACUAGCAUAGGGGCCCCUGGGUAGCUCAGCUGGUUGAGCGUCUGACUUCAGCUCAAGUCAUGAUUUCACAGUUUGUGAGUUUGAGCCCUAUGUUGGGCUCUGUGCUGACAGCUCAGAGUCUGGAGCCUGCUUCAGAUUGUGGCUCUCCCUCUCGCUCUCUGCCUCUUCCCCGCAUGUUUGUUUUUUCUCUCUCUCUCUCUGUCAAAAAUAAAAAUAAACAUUAAAAAAAAAAAGAUACUAGUGUAGGGUAUACUUCAGGAAGUAGAGAAAUAUACCUAGAAGGAAGGUCUGUUCAUCACUUCUCUUACAUCUCAAAGAAAUAGUAAAUGUGGGUAAAUGGGGAAAAAAGCAACAGUAUAAGACAACAAUACUAUCUAACUUAUGGGGUGAAAAAACAAGACAAACAAAAUUUUGCACAACCAUAAGUAAAGGGAUCAUGGAACUAGAAGUAUUUUACAAUCUUUAUAUUACUCAGGAAGAUAGUAAAAAUGCUAUCUAAUUUAAGACAUUGACAUUAAAUACACACGUUAAAAAAAUUUCCAGAAAACCACCAUAAGACUAGAAAUAACAGUAUACCUUCUAAACUAGUAGUGUGGCCAUCAUAUUCUUUGACUCUAUUACCCCCAUGUUGAUAGGACAUCUGAAAGAGAUUCUAGCCCUCCUUUCAGAUAAGAGAUACUAAGCCCACCCAGUACCUACCAUAAUAUGUAGUCAUUAUAUAUUUGUUACAUUAAUUUGGCUGUUCCAGAAUAAAAUGAAUUCUAUUUUACAAAUGCAUUAUACUUCUCAACUCUACCUGGAAGGCUGAUCCUAUCUUACUUAUUUUAGUGAGUGGCCUGACUAUCCCUUCAUCUUUUUUCCUUUUUAGAAAAUGGGACAAUGAAUGCUUGGGAUAAAAUCCCAAAUCCUAAGCUCCAUUUCUUGAUUCUAAAUUGGGGGGACAAAUAUAGAGGGGGGGAUACUUUACUUUUCCCUUCACUAUUGCUCCAAAGGAGUUAUCAAUCAAAAAUUUAGAUGUUUGAUUCAAUCAUGAGGAAAUGGCAAUCAAAGCUCAGGCACCUAAACUGUGAGUGAUAUUUUCCCCACAGUUGGUAAAACUGUAUAUUCCACAACAUAUGGAAUUCUACUGAAAGCUUUCACUGGCACUUUGCCUUGUUAAGCAAAAGUUAGAAGUUAUGCUUAGACAUUAAAAAAAAAGAAUCAACACUGCCUUUUCAUUAGACUAACAUUUUAAAAUAUGACUUAAAAAUUAUGGAAAAUAUCUUAAUAUAUCUAACACUCGUUGAGCUCUUAACUAUAUGACAGGCAUAGUUCUAAACAUUUUUAUGAAUUCAUUAAUCCUCACAAUAACACAUGAUGAGUCAGGUAGUAUUAUGAUUAGCUUUAUUUUACAGAGGAGGACCAUGAGAAAUAGAGAUUAAAUUAAUUUCCCCAAUUUACAUACCUCAGAGGUAUCAAUCAAUAGUGGGAUUUGAACCAAGGAGUUUAGCUCUGGAGUCUUUACUCUUAACCAUUAUACCCUACUGCUUUCCAAGAUUCUUGUCAAGUUUGUAUCCUGAUUUACCUUGUAUCUUUAUCUAAAGUCUGACUUUGGUAUUUGCUAACUCAUACUAGAUGCAUUUUGCCAAACUUGUCUAUUCUGUUUAUUUGCAAAGCAUUAAAACUAAUCGAGAAUUUCAAAUCCAUGUUAUAGUUUCAUUUACACUUAACAAAUUCUGCAUCUUCCUAUGUUGGACAGGAUUAUUCCCACCUCACCCCAGGACUUUAUGCCUGGAAUUGAUUCAUUCAGGAAACAGGAAUUAGAUGGUCCUACUACAUGCAAUGCCCUGUGCUAAGCAAAAAUUUACAGCUACUUUCCUAAUUGGCAGCUAAACCUCACCAAGAUUCACCCACAGCAUGAUAUAUAUUUUUCCAAAAAAACAUAAAACAGUUUUGGUAGGGAAGCAGCACAUGGUCUUCCCAUUUGUUCAUUCCACAAGUAUUCUUCAAGACUCUACUAGGUGCAAGCACUAUGAUGGGUGCUGAAAAUUCUGGGGCAAACACAGUAGAACCAGUAUUUGCUCCUUAAGGCUCUAGUGGGGAGAAAGAUGUUAAGUAUCACACAGAUAAUUACUUACAAUUGUGAUAAGCAAAAUAAGGAAAAAAGUAUAGAAAUCAUAUGAUAGACUGACCUAACUUAGUUCUGGAGAUAAAGUCAGGGAGGGUGUCCCUAAAACACUGACAUUUAAUAUGGAAGUUGAGGACUGGUAGAAAUUGCCCAAAUAAAGAAGCACUGAAAAGUAGUUCAAGCAGAGGAACAGCACUGUGCUUUGGAGGAAAUGAAAACCCAGUGUGUCUGGAGUACCACAAGAAGACAACAGCUGAGGCCAAUGCUCAAAGGUCUUUUCCUCACUAUGAGGCCCACCACCUGCUCACUCUGCUGCUGGUCCACUCAUAUUUUCUCCGUGGCUCCAAGAAAUAAAGCAUUUACAGUACUAGCGCACAACCCCUUAAAAUGGGUAACUUAAAUUCUGCAAACAAUUUCACUGGUGGAGAGGACAUGGGUAAGAUAAAUAUUUUCUAAGAUUAUAAAUUUCAUCUGUAUUUUAACAACUUGAAGCCAGAGACCAUAUCUUACAUAUCCUACUAUCACUCAGGACACCUAGCAAGGUGCAUAACAAGGGUCUGAUAAAUAAUUUUGUUCUUUGGGGAGAAGAGCAAAGAUAAGAUAUUUAAGUGUUAGUAGACUUGAUUUUUUUCUGUGUAAGAAUUAUGCCGCCAUUCAUAUAUCCUUAUCCACUUUAACUGUAUAUAUAAAAACAGGUUGUCUACCUUACAGAUAAAACCAAUUCUUCAGAGAUGCAUUGAACAAAGAAAGAAGGCUUAAAAUAUAGGGAGCUAGGUAAUAGAGGUCCCUCACCUCUCAACUCUAAGAACAAAUGUGCUAUUUCUCUUUCUUCACAGAAAGCUUACUUGUGGGAAUAAGGUAAACUUAUUUCAAAAGAAGGAAUGACUUUUACUUGGAUUGUGGCCAGCUGCAAUGAAAUUCAGCCACUUUCCUCUUAAAAGUCAUUUGACUGGAAAUCUUAUCGGUGGGAAAUUCUCUAGGGGCCAAAGAUUCUAUUUUCUGCAACUUGACAAUAUUUGUAAAACAUUUUUAGUUCUAAGAUUCACUACCUCUCAUCCUCUAUACACAUAAAAAUCCCACACUCAUACCAAUCCAAUAAGCUGACUUCUAGUAGAAGUAACAACAUUUUUUGAAAUCUAAAAGUCCAAAUACGUAACAACAGAAUAUAGUAUCAUUUAUGAAUCUUUGUUUUUCUCUUUGAUUACAUAGCCAUUUGUAUAUAGCAACAUUUGAAGGCAAGAAAAGAGAAUCACCAUGCCUUCCAAGGGAGGCAAAAGAUAGUGAGCUAUCCUCAUUAGAAUGACUAGCUGGGAUAGCAACUAUCAAAGCACAACACACUUGUGGAAGGAAUACCAUGAGCAAGGGACUAGGAUAAGAACAGCACCAGAAAUACCAAGAAUAUAGCCCCAUUCUUGCCCUCCAGAAACCAACAAUCUAAAGGAAAUACCCUAAGGGAGGGGGCGGGGCAGGUGGGAGGGAUAAGAAAAACCACAAAUCAAUCAUCAGACUGAUGACCCAAUAUACAAGGACACAAAAUCUACCAAGCGACUGGAAAGAAAGCAACAAAUCCCCAAUUUCCUAUGUCUAGUUAUACAAGUUCCCUUUUAUCCAUUACUCUCUCAUACCCUACCUAUCUCUUUGUCUGCACAUAUUGCUCAUACCUAAAUAGAUUUAAUCAGACUAAAGCCCCCAUAUCUUUAAAUAGUAUGUCAAGAUUAGUUCUUUCAGGAUCUAGCCCAUUAUUUUAAAGUCAUCUCAUUCCACACUUACUGAAACAAGCAGUAAAGUACAUCAUGGCUCUUCAAUGGCACAUGACAAAGUCUUGGGAUAUUGUAACAGACUGGGUCUCCUCACUUUUCUUUGCAAAUUUUUUUUUAACAUAUAUUUAUUUUUGAGAGAUAGAUCACGAGCGGGAAAUGGGCAGAGAGAGGGAGACACAGAAUCCGAAGUAGGCUCCAGGCUCUAAGCUGUCAGCACAGAGCCCAAUGCAAGGCUGGAACCCAUGAACUGUGAGAUCAUGACCUGAGCCAAAGGUGGACGCUUAACCGACUGAGCCACCCAGGCACCCCUUUCCUUGCAAAUUCUUAAACAGGAAAGUGAAUUAAAGGAGUUGAGGUAUUGUUUGUUUGUUUGUUUUUUAAUGGUGAAAAACAAUAAGAACUGGUGCAUCUAUAUAUAGUUUAAUUUGUAUUUAUAUCCAGGGAAACACAAAUUGGUUUGAAGUAGAGAGAAAAGACAGAGGAAUUCAUGACUCAUAGUAUGAUACUAUGCUGUAACCUGCAGGCCUCCAAAUAAUGUAUCAAUACCUGGUCUAAAUUGUUAAAUUUUAAAAAGACAUUGCAGUUUAAAAAGAAUGCAAGAUCCCAAUGCCAUUUUCAGUUAGGAACAUGUUCUCACAUUAUGAAUUUAAUAAGUGGCCUGCGUACUUGAAAUGACUCUGAAACAGAGAACCACAACCCAAAAUAGCCUGAACACUUUUGUUAUCUCAACCAAUGGGCAGCUAGCCAUUCGUUCCUUCCUCUUAUACAUAUUCUACUUGUUUCAGACAAAGCCCACUAUAAAUUCACUGCAACUGUUCAAAUUUGGCUACAUCAGAUGCUUCAAAGCUGGGGAUGAAAAAUAUACAUUGCACAAAAUUUUUAUUACAAUAUUUUUCACAUAAGAAAGAAAUGCUAUGUACAUGUUCACUUAGUUAAAAGAAAAUUAUAUUGCACACCUAUGGUCACAGCUUGACACUAGAAAUAAAGUAAUGAACACAACAGACAUGGUCCCUGCCAUUGGAGAACCUAUAAUCUAGUGGAGAAAACAAACAUUGACUAAGUAUGAUGAAUGUCACAGGAGAGUAUACACAUGCCAUGCUGAACUGGAGGAGAAGACCAGGAAUAAAAAUGACCUUCUCAGUUUUGAUACAUAUGAAGCAUAAGCAUUUUACAUGUGUAUAAGUGGCUAAUAAUUAAAUAAGUAUAUAAAAUGAUGAAACCACUUUUUUAACAAAUAUACAAGAAAUAUUAAAAUCCAAAUAAGUCCCAUCCCCAUUAAAGUAGUUGCCUUAAUGCUGCCCUUAUUCCUGGUCUGUAACAGAAGCCAACUUAAGACACUGUGGUUAAUACCAUAGGACUUUUACUCUAACCUUUAUUCUGUCCACUUAGAAUUAUACUAGUGCCAUUUAUACAAAAGCUUUAGAAAAACCCAACUUUCAGGGCACCUGGGUGGCUCAAUCGGUUAAGCAGCAGACUCUUGAUUUUGCCUCAGGUCAUGAUCUCGUGGUUUGUGAGAUGGAGCCUGCAAGGGUCUCUGCGCUGACAGUGGAGCCUGCUUGGGAUUCUCUCUCUCUCUCUCUCUCUCUCUCUCUCUCUCUCUCUCUUUUUCUCUCUGCCCCUCCCCUGCUCAUGUUCUCUCUUUCCCUCAAAAUAAACAAAUAAACUUAAAAAAAAAAAAAAAAGGCCCAACUUUCUACUACGUAGAUACACAAAUAUUUAAAUUGGGGCCCUAUUAAAAUUAAAACCAUAGUUGUAGAAACAUUAUAAUCUUCAAAACUCUCCAGUUCUCUCAAUCACAUGAGAGAACAAAGUUCACGACCUGUCCCAUCCAUUUAUCUCUUUUGAUCCAUAGUUUUUCAUUUUUCUUUUCUUUUUUUUUUUUUUUUCCAGAAAGAGAGAGAGAAAGUAUGAGCAAUAGAGGGAAAGAGAAUCUUAAGCAGGCUCCAUGCCCAGUGCAGACUCAUGAACUGUGACAUCAUGAUCUGAGCCAAAAUCAAGAGUCAGUCGCUUAACUGACUAGGUCACCCAGACGCCCCUUCAUUUUUCAAAUGAAAGUUCAUGAUUCCCCAAAGAGUCCACAAACUACUUCAAAUACUGUUUAAAUACAGAAAUCCUACAAAACUACUUUAAAUACUAUUAGUUGUAAUAGGCUUUCAAUCUGAGCAGGCAUAUAUACUAUAAAAAGCCUUUAUCUGUUUUGCAGGCAUAAAUACUUCUGUGCUGAUCUAUAUCUACUCUUUUUUUUUUUUUUUUUUAAAGAAUUGCUGCAAAAUCAAAUGUUACUGUGAAACAGAACCAUACCUACACAUCAUUCUUUUCACAUAGGCCCGUCAUGCAGGCCAUGCCAAAAAAAGGUUUUAAACAGAUAACCUUGCCAGGCCCAGGACAAACGGAAACUCUAUGACUAACAGCAUUCUCGUUGUUUCAGACUCUAGGUGGAAAACUUCCACUGAUAUUUAACAACUUUGCUCUAAGUGGACACAGAAUAGUGGAGUAGAGAAAGCAAAGGAUACAGAGGAAGAAAAACAGAAUUUGGGUUCAAGCUAUACCACUAACUAGCUGUGCCACUGUGGGCAGGUUACUUAAUUUCUCUGAUCUAUAUAGUAUCCUCAUCUGUAAAACCAGGACCAUCGCAAUACCUACCUUAAUGGAUUACUAUGAUACCGCAUAUGAAAGUAUUUUAUUGGGGCACCUGAGUGGCUCAGUCAGUUAAGCGUCCAACUUCAGCUCAGGUCAUGAUCUUGCAGUUUGUAAGUUCGAGCCCCACAUCAGGCUCUCUGUUGUCAGAGCAGAGCCCACUUCAGAGCCUCUGUCUCCCCCUCUCUCUGCCACUCCCCCACUCACUCUCUCAAAAAUAAACAUUAAAAAAAAAAGAAAGUAUUUUAUUAACUAUGAAGGAUUACACAAAUAUUAUUCCCUUUAUUUUUUCCUUAAUAUAGGAAUUAUAUGCUCAUUUUAAAAAUUGGAAAAUACAGGAAAAUAUGAAGAAGAAAAAAAUCACCCACAGGCCUAUCACCAUUGUUGUUGUUGUUUUUUAAGAUUUUGUUUUUUUCAAGUAAUCUCUACACCUAACGUGGGGCUCAAACUCACAACCUUGAGAUCAAGAGUUGCAUGUUCUUCCAACUGAGCCAGCUAGGCACCCCUGUUAUUUAUCUUAACUGAAAUAAAUCUAACAUCAACCAAAAAAAAAUUAGAGCAAAAAUAAUUUCGGAUGUUAAUGAUAAUUUACAAAUGACAAAAUUAAUUGCUGAUCUUUUUUUUAAGAGCAGAACGGCCUUUCCCAUGUAUCAGUUUAAAGUAAAGACAAUCCUGCUAUUUGUACCAUAGCUGGUCUCAACAGGGUAUAAUAUAUGGGUGAGGCUCAUAAAAGUCAAGGCCACAAAAACUCCCAAAAUAAAUAUUUCAUGAGCCCAAGGAGGAGUUACAACACAUGCCCUCAGAUGCAAUGGAGAAGGCAAAGUGUCUGAAGUCCCAUUAAUAAAACUACCAUGACCAUACGAUCACAAAGACUGACAGAUUUCUAUGGGCCACUUCAGUGGGAAAAAAAGAAAAAUUUAUAUGCCAUGCUACAAAACAGGCAGUCUAAGACUUCUGACUUUUUCACACUGCUCAUUGAAUCCCACCCUUGGAAAUUCUUACCCCUCCUCUGUUUUUCGUUUCCCACCCUUCUUUGUCUCAGCACCUCUUCCUUGUUUUGUUUUUUAUUACAUUAGAAUCACUCUCUAUGUUUAAAAUGGCCUUAUUCUAUACAAGGGAAUAUUAUUCAGCAGCAAAAAGGAAUGAAGUUCUGAUACAUACUAUGCUACACUGUGGAUGAACCUUGAAAACAUUAUGCAAAGUCAAAGAAGUCAGAGACAAAAGACCAUAUAUUUUAUGAUUCCAUUAACACAAAAUGUCCAAAUAGGCAAAUCCACGGAGACAGAAAGUAGACUGGUGGUUGUCUAGGCCUGAGAAAGUGGGGGAUCGAGAGAAUGAGUGACUGCUGAUGGGUACGAGGUUUCUUUUUCAUGGGAUAGAAACUUUCUAAAAUUAGAUUGCAGUGAUGGUUACACAACUCUGUCAAUAUAUUUAAAAAACACCUAAUUGUACACUUUAAAUGGGGGAAUUGUAUGGUAUGUGAAUUACAUCUCAACAAAACUGUUUUUUUAAAACAUGGUCCUCCUCAGGAUCCUGAAAAAAAGGACAUGCAAAUAAAUACUCCCAUCUUACCCCUCCCUAAGUGUGGAGUAAAAAUGAUAACUCAGUUGCAAUAAGAUAUGUAUAAAAAGUGACCGGACUACUUCUGUUUAACAAAUAUACUUGAAAUUACAACUCCAAAUGAGUCUUACCCCUCCAAAAGUAGUCACCUUAAUGAUGCCCUAAGUCUAAACUUGGUCCUCAGAUUCUCAAUAAUUCUAUGCCUCUGUUUGGGUCAUUCUUUCCACUUAGGAUGCUUUCUUACCACAUGUUUAAAUGUUCAAAUUCCAGCUGUCUCAAAUGCUACAUCCUCCUUGAAGCCUUCCCAAUUCUCCCACCGAAAGUAACCUCACCUUCCUCUGAACUUUCACAGUACUUCACUUCCUUAGUGUCACUUGGGGCUUUCAAUCUAGUAUUCUACUUAUUCUGCCCAGAAUCAUACUUACUGCUUUGACAUUAAAAGGGAGUCUCAAUAAACACCUGUUUGAUAAGUGAGUGACUACGCUUAACAAUCAAGAAGUUCAUCUUCAUCUGGUAAACUUUCAUUGUGGAAAUGUCCAAAAGGCACUUAGACUCAAGAACGACACAUAAAAUAGUAGGGUUAAGGAAUGCCCACCGCAGAUAAAAUUUUCUGGACUAAUUUGACACAUAUAUGUAAAUAAUCUGAGAGAAAUUCUCAAACAGAAGCACUGGAAUAAAGAUAUAACUUCCCAAGGUAACUGAAAGAAGCCUGAAUUAUAUCAAUUCCAGAAUAUUUGUUCAAAAAUCAGUUUCAUUAUUUUAUAGUAACACAACGUUUUUUCCUAGCAAAACCUGAGGGCGCCAGUAUCAAGUUCCACUAACUCUUCCUCUACUAUAUUUCUAGUUAACUCCUUCUCCAUUUUCGCUGCCACACUCAAAGUCCAGGUCCUCAAUUUUUUCAUGACCAGCCAACUUAAAAGUUCUCCUAAUUUAUCUCCUCUCCUACAGUUCCUUCUUUCCUUCAGCAAUACUUAUUGGGCCAUCCUGUGAGGCCUAUUCUCCAGACACAACCUAGUUGAGAACUUGACACAUGUACACAAUUCAUCACAACACUCAGUAGCAUAUAUAUAAGGGCCACAGUUGGCAUUGAGAAUUCCACGCAAUGGGUAGGUCCCCUGGCCUCCAGAGAACACAACCUAUACAGUCUCCCUCAAAAACUAUUCUCAUCCACUCCUCCCUCCCACCGUCUUUGUUCAUCUGGGAUAAGAUGAUUCGAUAAGGCCUUCUGUUUAACUGCCAUAUGUCAUACACUGACUUCGUCUCUAAUUUCUCUCCAACUUACUUCCUGAGCUAGUCCAGACAAUAUACUUGUUGUAACCUGGAAAUGACUUACCAGUACCUUUGUUCAUUUUAACUAUCAGCACAAUCCUCCCAACUUUCUCUUUGCUAAUUCAGAUGUACCACCAACCUCAAGUCCCUUUCUUUGUAUGUAUUGGGAUGCAACUAUAUGUAUUUUUUUUUUUUUUCAGCUCAUGACUGGCCUUAUUUCUUUUGUAUUUGUCUCACGAUACCUUUGCAGUGUUUCCUAACUAAGGGUGUAUCACAACCACAUAUGAAGCUUCUGAAAAAUACAAAGGCCUUGAGACUACCCCAUGAAAGGCUCCUCAGUUAAGUCUGACAUGGGAGCUGGACAACUUUAUUCCUAAAAACCCCUCUGGUGAUUCUGAUGCACACCCCAACCUGAGAACCACUGAUUUAUUACAAUGCUCCCUAGGCAGCAUUCACUUCUUAUUAAUUCAUGCAAUGAAGCUCAUAAAUAACUUUUCUCUAAAUAGCCUAACCAGAUAUCAACCCCUAGACUAAACUAGCUCUGUUCCAAGUGCAACAUGUGGUUUUAAGAUUUCAUUUCCUGAAGUAUUCCAUGGGGGGACACUAUUACUCUGUCUCUUUACAUUGUUUCCUAUUUGUUGAAAAAUGGAGGUCUGGAAUGCAGCCAUGUUAGACAACACUACUUAAGAAUGUACUCUGGAGUCUUAGAUUAAAAUUAGUUACAAAAAGAACAAGAACAAUAUAGAACUAGAUAUUCUGAAUGAAUACUGCAUUCUUACUGAAUAGAUUCUUACUAAAUCUAUACAGAACGAAAUUGAGGAAUUUAGUCGGUGGGGUCCCCCCCCCUUCCUAAUUAUCAGUCUCUUGAAUUGGCUGAGAAGGACCCCUAAAGACUGAGGUAGACUUUCAGCGGCUGAAGUGCCACUAGUGCAUUACAGUGCUCUAAUCAGACAAGUAAACCAAGCCCCACCCAGACCCACAUUUGCCUCCCAAGCUGCCAACUACCCUGACAUACACUAUUUACACAGCUCAGUGGGGGAACAGUAUGAACUUUUUCCAAAGUUGUCCCUUAGAGGCAGCAGGGGUCUGAGUGAGUCAGUCACCCACCAAGGGUGGGAAAGAAGUGUGAUAUUAGUCAGGGAAGUGUUAGGAGGCUGGUCACAGCACCUCUUUUCCCAUUUCAGAAGUGAGCUCCGCCUCCCCUAAGAACCACCUCUGUUAUUAGUCACAGCUGUGGGCUACAGAGGUCUGCAGGGCCACUCAGCCACCCAGCGAAGUUGUGGGUUGGGGAGGAGACGCCCGUUCCCCUCUCCGGCAGGGGCCUCUCUCCGGCAGGGGCCGCAGAUCCCAGAUUCCACAGGCCUCUCCCAACACUCCAUCUUGCUUCCUGCCCGGAGGAGGGGCGGAGGAGGAGGGCCCCCAAGUCUAGAAAGGCCCCAGAAGGAGGAAGCCGUUUGACAGCAGAUAAGGAAACUGAAGCUCUGUCGUUCAUCUAAAGUUUCACCUAGGACCAGCGAAAGAAGAACUGGAAUGCAGAAUGAGAAGCUUAUGAGGUUCUCACCCUGGCUCCUCCCACCCAUGCCUGGAUUCAAACAAGUGGCCACUCACUAGCAUAUCCAAAUGGAUACCAGAGCCAUUUUCCAGACCUCAGGAGUCCUAUAGCCUUUCACCAGCCAAGCUAUGGUGCUGGUGCUGGUGCUGGAGCCAGAUAAAGAACCAACUGCCCAAGUGAGCCUGGAAAUACAUACAUGUCAUCUCUCUGGAGAGCAAAAUUGACACCAUGACUACUGUCCUGGGACGGCCCUUUAAAACCUUUGCUGAAUUUGUACUCCUGGUCUUUCUCAUGACUGCUGAUAAAGAGAAGAGCUUCAGGGGUAGAGAUAGUCACAGGUGAGGUGAAAUGUGUGUGUUGGGGGUAGUGAGGAGAACAGAGUGGGAUUCAAUGGCACUUCUGGAGUUCAUAGGAGCCCCUGUCAUCAGUUCUAGCCUGACUUCAGGGGGCUGGAGAAUCCCCCCACAGCCAAUGAAGGGACUGACUUCAAGGGGCGGUGAAUUACCCUGCUUGGUCAUGAGACCUCAGCUGAGCAAGCAGAACAAACUGAGGCAAGUAUGACAGAAGCUAAUCAGGGACUCAGGAAACCUGUCUUUCCUUCUUACUUCUCACCAACCAGUACCUCCCCCUGCCACACAUACAACCACACAUAUUCUCUUAAAAAAUACCCCAAGCCAUAAAGUGGUAAAUUUUAUGUUAUACGUAUUUUACUAUGAUUAAAAAGAAUCAUAUUUAGCCAACCUAGGUUAAAUAUUCUAUUCUCUGUCCUUAUUCCUAUGUCUAUGUAUUCCUCUGAACUGUAAUCCAAGCACUGUAAUCCACAUUAUUGCAUUUGAAUCACCUCAAUUUGUGAUAUAAUUUGUGAGUUUCCUAAAUGAGGGAUUACUAAUUUUUUCUUUUUCUUUCUGCUUUUUGUGGAAGUAUAACAUAUAUACUGAAAAAUGCACAAAUCAUAAAUAUACAGUUCUAUAAAUUUUCAAAUGGCAAACACCUUCAUAUAACCAAAACCUAAAUGAAGAAACAGAAUGUCACUAGCACAUCUUCCAGUCACUAGUUUCUCAAGGGUAAUUCCUGUUCAUAAAUUAAAAACAUAUAUUAAUUUCUCCUGUUUUUGAACUUGACAUAAAUGGAAUUGUAAGUAUGUA